UGAUAGCUGUGAAGCGAGAGGUUGCUGCCAAGAAAUGAGGCAGGUUUUCCGUGGAGCGAAUGUCAAGUUAGGAAACUGGCGACAA
rnacentral:ncRNA from 1 species